AACCCAUGAUGAGGGCACCUUCUCAAUAAGUCAUUGACUCUGUCCCAUGCAUCAUAUAAUGUCUCUAAAUCGAUUUGGGCAAAGGAAGAAAUGUCAUUCCUCAACUU
rfam:Gossypium raimondii chromosome 4, whole genome shotgun sequence.